AUUAUAAUAUUAUGCGUGUAUUGAAGAUAACCUUGAUAAAUAAACAGGAAAAAUAAAACGACAUUGGAUAACUUGAAGAGUUUUUGGUAAAAUAAUUGAGAGCUUAGUUUAAUCAACAGUAGUAUGAAAUGAAGGAAUAGAAGAGUUAAACGGACACGUAAGAGGCGAUAAGGAAAGAGAGAGAUAAAAAGAAAGAUCUUUUUAACAGUACCUCACGUACUUUUCGCGACGAGUUAUUUUUGCGAAUCCGCGGUUGGGCGGUACAAAGAAAGCGUGUCACGCCUAAAAAUACGCGGGGCACGCAGGUAGAUGUGGAAAGGUCGUAGGGAGACCCGGGGACGGAAUACGAAAAGAAGAAGAAAGAAAGACAGGCAAGAGAAGGAAUUGCACAAGAGGCGGUGAUUUGGUAUUCAAAUCGCCAGGCGUGCGUCCGCCUCUUCUCUUCUCUCUUUCUCUCUUUCUCUCUUGCGGAGAAUUGCUUCGUCUCUUAAAAAUACAAGAUAAGAAUGAAACGUGAUAUUAUAAUAAAAUGUCUCUAAACGAUUCAAGUAAAACGGGAAAUAAAAGACUCAAAAGACGUAAGGAAUCCAAACGGAUAUCAGAGAAAUCAAUGUUAAUAUUAUAAUAUUUAUAUUUAAUUUUACAAGAAUUGCAGUGGAGCAAAAUUCGUUUCCAUGUAUAGAGUCACUUAUUUUAUUUCGCCAUUUAAUCAAAUCUAUUUUUUACCGUUUGCUCCUUGAUACGUUUUAACGCAUUUUUAACACAAUAUUUUCUUGCUUGCUUGCGUUAUCGCGUUCUUGAAAAACUCUUCGGGUCCCCUCGCACUUUCUAAAGCUGUCGCCGUUAUGUAAACGUUCGGCGUAUCCUCGGUUAAGUGCGUCCAAGGUCUCCUCUCCGCUACGAUGACUCCGUGAUUGUAUCGGCAUGUCGAAAGACCGACGUUAUUUUGCAACUAUGGAAGUAGAAGGAAAAAGAAAUCUCACACGCACCGAAGCUUCGAAAUCUACGUGCUUUAUUUCGCUCGAUUGUCUUGUUAUCAGGUGCGGACCGUCGUCAAUCGGAUCGACGAUGAAGCGAGAACAUACCGAGCAUUCUCUCGGAAAAACCAGGGAAAACAUUGGAAACGUCGCGAACACUCGAAGGCGACAACAAUAUUAUUUAAUUAUUCUCAAGCGGCGAACAGGCCUGCCCAGUUCCAGGCACAGUUCCACGUAAUCGUGAUUUCCCCGUUUCACUAUCGGAACGUUGCAGUUUACGAUCGCUGACGCACUCUGCGAUAACGAAAGUCCAUGUCGCGCCGCACUCGCUGAUAAACCUCUGCGCACAUUCUUCUUCUCAUUUCCAGAAAGCGCAGCGCGACGCAGAAGUCGCGAGUACGCUAUCGAUUCCGAGGACCGCCCGAGAGACUUCGAUGCCCGCACGUGCGGCAUCUUCCUCUUUCCGUCUGGCACUAUCACGGGCGGACGAUCGCGGCACAGUUACAUAAACGGAGGCACACUUGAAGCGCGCUUGAUUUCCGGAUAUCACUUUCCCCGGUGCGCGUUUGUGUGGUCGCGCAGCGAUAACCAGGACAACGAGGCGAGCCAUUUUUCUACGAGGAAAAAAAAAUUCUCGUUCCGACAAUUCACUGUUCCGCGAGAAUCCUACGUCGUGCGACAGCACUCGCGGAGGAUUUCGAAGUAAAAAAGAAUUUAUCGCGCGUGAAGUCACGAUCGUUCUCCACGCUUAGCGGCGACUGGGAUCGCCCUUGCGGAACCGUCGCGACGACUCGCCCGCUCAGCACGCGCGAUUCCGCGCGAUCAAUCGUUUUGCAUUCUCGCUUUCUCACGCGCGCGAUAAAUUUCACCACAGAGCCGCAUCAUUCCCCGGCUCGAUCUCCAACUCGGUGAUUCAUUAACAACCGCGUGUGCACUGCUUUCGGAGCGUCACGUCGCGAUCGCGCACGUGACGCGCGAAAGACGAAGCGUGAAAGCGCGAUUGUCCUGCUUAUCGAUGAGUAACGACUGACCGCCGCGGUCAUCGCGACGAGAGAAGAUCGGGCUGCGGAGACGAGAAACGCGAGUAUCGGGCGACCUUGAUGAUCCAGACGACCGCUUUCGAAAAUCUUCAUCGUCUCGUCUACUCAACAGGCGGAUCGUCACGGCGAUAUCCGGCUCGUCGGUAGAAACAGCGGGGAUCCAGUAAUGUGUAAAAAGCCACCGCCCGGUAUCUCAUUUAUGGUUAAGGCAGUCCCACGGAAUUGAAACCCGCGCAAAUAAGCGUGACCUUCUCCCAGGUGGAAGUACAGAAGUCUGGCACGUGUUUUCGGCGCCGGCUUGAAUUCCGUUCGUCGCCUUUUUUGUCCGCGAACCGAGGAGACCAAUGUCAGUCACACAGCUGCAGCCAGGAAGAGUCGAGUGGAGCGCAAUAACAAGCGCGGGCGAGCAAUUUCGAGCCGAUUCGUCCGGAUUCCUGCGCGUAUCGCGCUCGUGGCCCUUAACGGUUCGAUAUCGGCGAUGGCAAGCAAUCGGCCGCCGGAUAGGAAAUUCUCCAGCCGUGACGUAAAAAGAUAUAACGCCCGAGGGCGUCUCUUCGGCGCGGCGCCACCAAUACAGGACUACGUUUAGUCGCGGAACGAACGACCCGUCCUCCGUCUCUUCCUCCUAUUUCGAUCUUUUAUGCCGAGUCCACAUCGAGAGAAGGAGCUAGCGGGCAACAACCUCGUGUGUCGAGUCUAAAACAUACACUUAAGAAGGAAGAAUGAGAUUGCUUUAAUUUGUACUUAAGGCAUUGAAAAAAAAAAAUAUUAAUAUGAAUGAUGCUCGCAGCCUCUGUGGAUUCCGCUUUAGGACGAGUAUACCUUAAUUCCCGGCUGUCUACGGUUUUAAUUACGGACGCGCUUUCUAAGAGGAAGACGGCUUCUCUCGCUUACGGCUUUUAAGACGAGAGCGAUCGGAGCGAACAACAUUCGCCUCGAUCUACACUGUUUCUUUUAGAGGCGAGCGAUUAAAUCUUGAUUAGAGCGACGCGGGUCUAAACGAGAUCUUCUUGGAUAUCCGUUUCCAUAUUUAUAAGUGGAAAUAUAAUUUGUUGCAUUGUCGUUUGCACGCACUGAGCUUGUGCAAAACCUGUUUAAAACGCAAACAUUGAAUCAUAAACCACUUCCGCCAUCGAGUUGCUACUAAGCCAACAAGAUCGAUGGAUCUUCGUGACAAACGUCAUUCCCGCUCGACGCAAUCAACCGG
rnacentral:lncRNA from 1 species